GGUUUGUGGCUCAGUGGUAGAGCGCUUGCCUUGCACAUGUGAGGCACUGGCUUCAAUCCUCAGCACCA
rnacentral:tRNA from 1 species